GUACGGAAGAACCUCUCUGAACUCGAGCUCCUUCUCCUUCUUUUCUUUGUUCUCUUGCUUGAUCAAGCUCUCGAACUAAUUAAGUGAGAAACUCAAGUGCUAGCUCACCCACUAAAAGAAAUAAAAAUCUUUAGUAGUAAGGUUAGUACUAGUUUAGUGCUAAUCAACCAGUAAUAAAAAUGAUUGCUUUAGUUGUAAUCACCCUCACUUAAACUAAAACCACAAAAAUUAUUUCUUUAACAAGCAAGGCACGCCGGAACGAUGAACGUUUGUGGUGGAUCAUUCCCCACAAGAACGACCGACUCCCUAAUUUCUCUUGCUUAUUUCCUUCGGGUAUUCGGUGUACUAACAUUUUGCAGAAACCAUGUGGACCAACGUAAGGAACACGGUGAAAAAGCUCGGCUCGUUCCGUUCUAGGAGUUCACGGGAAUCCUCAACAUCCCGGGAUGACAUGUCAGUGGACUAGUUCACCGACUGUCGGCAUCCCAGGAAGAAGACACCUCUGCAGUCCCGAGGAACCGACUCAAAAUUUGUGUCCUGACUAUGGCAGAACAGAUCGUUGUCCGGACCGAUUAUGAGCGGGAUGCCCUUGAGCUGUUGAAGGGGCAGACCUUCGGCCACGCCAAGAUGUUUGUAUCCCUCUUCCUCAUUAAGAUGGGAUUGAAGCAUGACGUGAACCACGUUUUCACCGCAGCGGGCUGGGAAAAUUUUGUCGACAUCACUGAGACAGGAGAUCACACGCCAAAAAUGGACGAAAUUGGGUAAAACCCAGGCCGGCCGGCUUGACAACUCAACAUACAGGGGUGCGUCUUCAUUACAGGAGCAACAUGACAUGUUUACAAUGCCCCUGGAUCGAGGAUUGGGACUUGAUUCAAUCAAAGAACCCGAAAGGCAUAGCCAUGGAUCAAAUGGUCCACAAGUCAGAGUCAACACAAGCAAACGUCGUGUGAUACCCAUCCCUAGAGCAAGCACAAGCGUUGAUAUCCAAUGUCGGGAAAAUGGAGGGUUGAGAGGCAUCAAAGGCAGGCCGUCCAGCCUCCCUCAGGCCUCCUGACCUAAAAUCUCGUAAUUUGGACCGAGAUCCACUGAAACCGACAUCCAGGAGGGAUCAGGACUGCCUACCAGAAAGGCGGUGCCAGAUGGCACUACCCCAGGCUGACCGGCCUAGGGGAGGCAGGCCAACACCACCUGUCAGCUUCUGGACCUCCUCUUUCGCGUGAAGUUCAAGCCAAGUAAGGGGUUGCUUACAACUGCAGCUACCAGCCAAAUACCGACCUAGAACUAGUAUAAGUAGGCCACCAUCCAUCACUUGUAACACACACCAAAGGAGUUCUCUUCUCUCUUUCAUAUAUAGAUUAGGUUAGUAGUUUAGAGUUAGAGUCGAGUCGAGCUUGUCUUGGGAAUCCGGAGUCGUCAUCGGAGCUCGAUAUAAGCUCUUGUAUCUUUUCCUUUGACUUUAUUAAUAUAAGUAAUCUUUUUCAUUUA